GUUUUCGGCCAUACUAAGAUGAAGAAAUAGAUUCUAUUCGAAUAUCGAAGUUAAGCGUCUUAAGGCUCGGUUGGGAGACAACAGAUUAGAAAGUCCGAGUGUUGACAGCA
rnacentral:rRNA from 1 species